rnacentral:rRNA from 1 species
GUUGGGGGGGCUUUACACAUUGCAAGUCGAACGGGAUCCAUCAGGCUUUGCUUGGUGGUGAGAGUGGCGAACGGGUGAGUAAUGCGUGACCGACCUGCCCCAUACACCGGAAUAGCUCCUGGAAACGGGUGGUAAUGCCGGAUGCUCCGACUCCUCGCAUGGGGUGUCGGGAAAGAUUUCAUCGGUAUGGGAUGGGGUCGCGUCCUAUCAGGUAGUCGGCGGGGUAACGGCCCACCGAGCCUACGACGGGUAGCCGGCCUGAGAGGGCGACCGGCCACAUUGGGACUGAGAUACGGCCCAGACUCCUACGGGAGGCAGCAGUGGGGAAUAUUGCACAAUGGGCGCAAGCCUGAUGCAGCGACGCCGCGUGCGGGAUGACGGCCUUCGGGUUGUAAACCGCUUUUGAUCGGGAGCAAGCCUUCGGGUGAGUGUACCUUUCGAAUAAGCACCGGCUAACUACGUGCCAGCAGCCGCGGUAAUACGUAGGGUGCAAGCGUUAUCCGGAAUUAUUGGGCGUAAAGGGCUCGUAGGCGGUUCGUCGCGUCCGGUGUGAAAGUCCAUCGCUUAACGGUGGAUCUGCGCCGGGUACGGGCGGGCUGGAGUGCGGUAGGGGAGACUGGAAUUCCCGGUGUAACGGUGGAAUGUGUAGAUAUCGGGAAGAACACCAAUGGCGAAGGCAGGUCUCUGGGCCGUUACUGACGCUGAGGAGCGAAAGCGUGGGGAGCGAACAGGAUUAGAUACCCUGGUAGUCCACGCCGUAAACGGUGGAUGCUGGAUGUGGGGCCCGUUCCACGGGUUCCGUGUCGGAGCUAACGCGUUAAGCAUCCCGCCUGGGGAGUACGGCCGCAAGGCUAAAACUCAAAGAAAUUGACGGGGGCCCGCACAAGCGGCGGAGCAUGCGGAUUAAUUCGAUGCAACGCGAAGAACCUUACCUGGGCUUGACAUGUUCCCGACAGCCGUAGAGAUAUGGCCUCCCUUCGGGGCGGGUUCACAGGUGGUGCAUGGUCGUCGUCAGCUCGUGUCGUGAGAUGUUGGGUUAAGUCCCGCAACGAGCGCAACCCUCGCCCUGUGUUGCCAGCACGUCAUGGUGGGAACUCACGGGGGACCGCCGGGGUCAACUCGGAGGAAGGUGGGGAUGACGUCAGAUCAUCAUGCCCCUUACGUCCAGGGCUUCACGCAUGCUACAAUGGCCGGUACAACGGGAUGCGACACGGCGACGUGGAGCGGAUCCCUGAAAACCGGUCUCAGUUCGGAUUGGAGUCUGCAACCCGACUCCAUGAAGGCGGAGUCGCUAGUAAUCGCGGAUCAGCAACGCCGCGGUGAAUGCGUUCCCGGGCCUUGUACACACCGCCCGUCAAGUCAUGAAAGUGGGUAGCACCCGAAGCCGGUGGCCUAACCCUUUGUGGAUGGAGCCCCGUUCUAAAAAGGGA